AAAGUUCGAUACUGGUAAGAAAUGGCGAAUCAACCAAGCCCCAAGUCAUGCAUGUUGCAUCGUGAGGUGCAGGGUGAAGCGUUGACAGGGGACCGAUGGGCCAGCAUUGAGCCGCGUAAUCAGGAAUUCGAGAUGCCGAUGCUGUUAUGCAGCGACUGUUCACAGCCGCCAAAGCUUGACGGCAGACCGCGUGCUGAUUGAGCG
rnacentral:autocatalytically_spliced_intron from 1 species